rnacentral:rRNA from 1 species
CAAUAGCGUAUAUUAAAGUUGUUGCAGUUAAAAGCUCGUAGUUGGAUCUCAGGUCCAGGCUUGCGGUCCACUCCUUGGUGGCUACUGCUCGUCCUGACCUACCUCCGGUUUUACCCUGUGCUCUUGAUUGAGUGUCUCGGGUGGCCGGAACAUUUACUUUGAAAAAUUAGAGUGUUCAAAGCAGGCAAUUCGCCUGAAUAAUGGUGCAUGGAAUAAUGGAAUAGGACCUCGGUUCUAUUUUGUUGGUUUCUAGGGCCGAAGUAAUGAUUAAGAGGGACAAUUGGGGCAUCCGUAUUUCGUUGUCAGAGGUGAAAUUCUUGGAUUUACGAAAGACGAACAACUGCGAAAGCACUUGCCAAGAGUGUUUUCAUUAAUCAAGAACGAAAGUUAGAGGAUCGAAGAUGAUCAGAU